CCCCCUCCCACCUCCCUCCCUAUCCCAUCCCUAAGGGUCAUCCCAGUGCACCAGCCCUGGCAAUCUAUUUCACAUAUGAUAAUAUACAUGUUUCAAUGCUAUUAUCUCAAAUCAUCCAACCCUCACCUUCUCCCACAGAGUCCAAAAUUCUGUUCUUUGUACCUGUUUCUCUUUUGCUGUCUCGCAUAUAGGGUCAUUAUUACCAUCUUUCUAAAUUCCAUAUAUAUGCAUUAAUAUACUGUAUUGGUGUUUUUCUUUCUGAAUUACUUCACUCUGUAUAAUAGGCUCCAGUUUCAUCCACCUCAUUAGAACUGAUUCACAUGCAUUCCUUUUAAUAUCUGAGUAAUACUCCAUUGUGUAUAUGUACCACAGCUUUCUUAUCCAUUCAUCUGCUGAUGGACAUCUAGGUUGCUUCCAUGUUCUAACCAUUGUAAACAGUGCUGCGAUGAACAUUGGGAUACACAUGUCUCUUUCAAUUCUGGUUUUCUCAGAUUGUGUGCCCAGCAGUGGGAUUGCUGGGUCGUGUGGCAGUUCUAUUUCCAGUUUUUUAAGGAAUCUCCACACUGUUCUCCAUAGUGGAUGUACUAGUUUGCAUUCCCACCAACAGUGUAAGAGUCCUUCUUAUAAGAGACAUAUUUUUAUCUACUGGUAUGGGUUCAGCUGGGUCCCCUUGAUUUCUACUGGGCAUACUAUCCAGUCUUAUUUUGGCCUCCAGUUUAGACCUGAGGGGCAAACAAGACAUCCUUUAGGGAAUUCCAGCCAACUUCAGGUUUCUAUAGACUUCCUUCUCUGUCUUUUCAAUAGUUAUUUUACAGGAAAUUCACAGGUCUCCAAAUCACACACUUCCCUACCCUAAAAUUUUAACCAAGAUUUACAACACAAGACAGCCCUACUGAUGAGAGAAAUGAACCAACUACCUUUAUUUUUUCUUUCCAUGGUGAAAAAGCCACAGUGCCUCGUUUGUUCCUAAAAUUGACUUUAAAAAGAAAACUUCUCCCUUUGCUGACAAAAAGGAAAUUUCAGGGGAUUCCAUUUCUUGAGUUAUUUACCCUUUCAGGAAGGGCAUUCCUGCUUAUCUCAUACUUUCUGUUCAAAAAUCAUCAUGCUAGGUUUCUUUUGAAUUUCUUCUCCUCUAAAAAGCUUACCAGAAUUAUCUAGUCUGCACAUCACAGAGUACUGAACGUGUGUUUUAUUCAUCUUGGUAAUUGAUAAUAUACUGUAUUGUACUUAUUUCUAAUUAAUUUUCAAC
rnacentral:lncRNA from 1 species